rnacentral:lncRNA from 1 species
GUCCCGUUGUAAGUGCUAAAAAAUUCAACACACGACUUUCUUUCUUCAUCAAGUUUUUUUUAUUGGAAGUAUAACCCAAUACAAAAUUUAAUCCUGGUAUCUAUGAUGAGUUUAUUUACAACCGCUUCUGUGCUGACAUAAAUUACCAUUGGUAUGGUCAUAUAUAUAAAUUAACUGUUUACAAAAAUUUUGCAUUUAUGAAAUACUAAGGCUUUUUUUACCCAAGGAAUAGAUUACCUUAGCUUAGCUGUAUUUGACAAAACUAUUAGGAAUUUUGGUCCACAAUACUCUUCAACUUCUAUCUUUAUUAGUAAAAUUGAGAAAGGAAAUUUAUUAGACCCUUUUAACGUUUACGGAUUCGUGCGUCACUGAUGUGUCUUUUGUAGACGAAACGUGCAUCUGGCGUAAAUACAAAAUUUAAUCCUGGUAUCUAUGAUGAGUUUAUCCACGAUAACGACAAUUGGCCUGGAACUUUUAUGACGUUUCAUAUCUUAUUGUUCUUCGUUAUGUGUUGGAGGACGUGCUUUUUGAUUACAGACCCUUGAUUGUUUCUGUUGAAUUAAUGUCUAACUUAUAUAAACUCUAAAUGAUUUAGACUGGACAUUUGGUGCGAUUGUCGUACAACAACUAUAUAAAACCAUGAUAAAUGCACCAUUUUCUACAUAAGAACAUGUCUGUACCAAGUCAGGAAUAUGAAGGUUGCUAUCUAUUCGUUUGAUGUGUUUGAGCUUUUUUAUUAGGGAUUUUUCUUUUUGUACUUUUGUGAUUUUACAUUUUGGUAUAUAGACU